GAACGCUGGCGGCGUGCCUAACACAUGCAAGUCGAGCGAUCUUCUUCGGAAGAGAGCGGCGGACGGGUGAGUAACGCGUGGGUAACCUGCCCUGUACACACGGAUAACAUACCGAAAGGUAUGCUAAUACGGGAUAACAUAAGAAAGUCGCAUGGAUUUCUUAUCAAAGCUUUUGCGGUACAGGAUGGACCCGCGUCUGAUUAGCUAGUUGGUAAGGUAACGGCUUACCAAGGCGACGAUCAGUAGCCGACCUGAGAGGGUGAUCGGCCACAUUGGAACUGAGACACGGUCCAAACUCCUACGGGAGGCAGCAGUGGGGAAUAUUGCACAAUGGGCGAAAGCCUGAUGCAGCAACGCCGCGUGAGCGAUGAAGGCCUUCGGGUCGUAAAGCUCUGUCCUCAAGGAAGAUAAUGACGGUACUUGAGGAGGAAGCCCCGGCUAACUACGUGCCAGCAGCCGCGGUAAUACGUAGGGGGCUAGCGUUAUCCGGAAUUACUGGGCGUAAAGGGUGCGUAGGCGGUCUUUCAAGUCAGAAGUGAAAGGCUACGGCUCAACCGUAGUAAGCUUUUGAAACUGUAAGACUUGAGUGCAGGAGAGGAGAGUGGAAUUCCUAGUGUAGCGGUGAAAUGCGUAGAUAUUAGGAGGAACACCAGUUGCGAAGGCGGCUCUCUGGACUGU
rnacentral:rRNA from 1 species